rnacentral:rRNA from 1 species
CCUACGGGUGGCAGCAGUGAGGAAUAUUGGUCAAUGGACGAGAGUCUGAACCAGCCAAGUAGCGUGAAGGAUGACUGCCCUCUGGGUUGUAAACUUCUUUUAUAUGGGAAUAAAACGUUCCACGUGUGGGAUUUUGUAUGUACCAUAUGAAUAAGGAUCGGCUAACUCCGGGCCAGCAGCCGCGGUAAUACGGAGGAUCCGAGCGUUAUCCGGAUUUAUUGGGUUUAAAGGGAGCGUAGGUGGAUUGUUAAGUCAGUUGUGAAAGUUGGCGGCUCAACCGUAAAAUUGCAGUUGAUACUGGCAGUCUUGAGUACAGUAGAGGUGAGCGGAAUUCGUGGUGUAGCGGUGAAAUGCUUAGAUAUCACGAAGAACUCCGAUUGCGAAGGCAGUUCACUGGACUGCAACUGACACUGAGGCUCGAAAGUGUGGGUAUCAAACAGGAUUAGAUACCCGGGUAGUC